rnacentral:rRNA from 1 species
AUUGAACGCUGGCGGCAGGCCUAACACAUGCAAGUCGAACGAGUGGCGGACGGGUGAGUAAUGUCUGGGAAACUGCCCGAUGGAGGGGGAUAACUACUGGAAACGGUAGCUAAUACCGCAUACCAUCGGAUGUGCCCAGAUGGGAUUAGCUAGUAGGUGGGGUAACGGCUCACCUAGGCGACGAUCCCUAGCUGGUCUGAGAGGAUGACCAGCCACACUGGACCUGAGAGACGGUGCAGACUCCUGCGGGAAGCAGCGGUGGGGAAUCUUGCACAAUGGGCGCAAGCCUGAUGCAGCCAUGCCGGGUGUAUGAAGAAGGCCUUCGGGUUGUAAAGUACUUUCAGCGAGGAGGCGUUACUCGCAGAAGAGGCACCGGCUACUCCGUGCCAGCCGCCGCGGUAAUAC